rnacentral:rRNA from 1 species
GAGUUUGAUCCUGGCUCAGAUUGAACGCUGGCGGCAUGCCUUACACAUGCAAGUCGAACGGCAGCACGGGAGCUUGCUCCUGGUGGCGAGUGGCGAACGGGUGAGUAAUGCAUCGGAACGUAUCCUGGAGUGGGGGAUAACGUAGCGAAAGUUACGCUAAUACCGCAUAUUCUGUGAGCAGGAAAGCGGGGGACCUUCGGGCCUCGCGCUCUUGGAGCGGCCGAUGUCGGAUUAGCUAGUUGGUGAGGUAAAGGCUCACCAAGGCGACGAUCCGUAGCAGGUCUGAGAGGAUGAUCUGCCACACUGGAACUGAGACACGGUCCAGACUCCUACGGGAGCAGCAGUGGGAAUUUGGACAAUGGGGCAACCCUGAUCCAGCCAUGCCGCGUGAGUGAAGAAGGCCU